AUAUCAUCAGUUGUUGAAUACCUUUUGGAUCAUCAGGAGUUUGUGUCUCCCAUCAUUAUCAUAACCAUUGUGUGUGUCUUUUUUAAAAAGUUUUUAUAGGCAGUGUGCCUCUGUGCCAUUAGUUUCUAUGACAUGAGUUCUUUGUGAUUGUAUCCACAUAUUUUAUAGCUUGAAUACUCGAUCCGAGUCACUUAUCAAAAUACACAAAUUCAAGUCUCUAGUAUUCCCUUCUAACAUGAAUCCGAAGGUCCUUUGGAUUUGUAUAGGCCUCUGGAUCCUUGCCAUUACAACAAGAGCUCAAGAAUCAGGAGAUUCAGACUCUAAUAGAAAUGCUGUUCGAUAUCGAGAGGCCUUUGCUUUUAGCGGGGCUUCAUUUAUUCGGAGUAAUGCUACACUUUCCUUUAUACCCGGCUCUACAAUUGCCUUCUCCAUUCGAACCUGCGUUCCAGGAACGGUCUUGAGUCAAAUCGGCUCUAAUUUCGAUAAGGCCACUCUAGUCAUUCUAGGAAACGGUGCUUUGGUCCUCUCCAUCUCCGUGGGGGAAAACUCUCCCAUUCGCUUAACUUCAAGGAACGUAAACGUUCUUGAUGCACGCUGGCAUCGUGUGAGCAUCGCAACAGGACUCAUUCCUGGGUCUAUAAGUCUAUCUAUAGAUGGAAACGUGGAGGCCUCAGCCGUCAACGAAGAUAUGAGUAUAUUGAGCCGUGUGGAUUUAUCUCGUGGAGAAGGAGAGUCUCAUCCCUUACGUGUUUUAAUCGGCAUGGUUGCCUGUCUACGACAAGGACCUGGACUCGAGUUUAGUAAUAACUCCACCGCUGUUCACUCUCUCGGUGUUAUUUGGGGAGAGUGUCUAUUGCCUUACCAAUGCUCAAAAGUCAAUUGGACAGAGUACACCCAUGAAACAUCUCAAAUUUCCUUUCCCUUCACUUGUCCUGAGUCCUCGAGUGACUGCGAUCAAGUGAACGGAGUCUGCCUCCCGGAAUCAACCUCUGCUCCGUCCUGUCUCUGCAAACCUGGUUUCUCUGGCCCUACAUGCACCACACCUGCCUCUUCCUGUAAUGAAAACCCUUGUGUUCAUGGAUCCUCGUGUACAGAGGAUCCCUCCGGAGGCUCUGGAUACUCCUGCUCUUGUGUUCCUCCCUUUUCAGGGACGAAUUGUGAAAUUGAAAAGGACUUUUGUGAAAAUAGUCCCUGUGUUGAGGGAGGAUUCUGUUUUCCGCAACCUGCUGGAUUCUUUUGUGAAUGCUCUCUACCAUACUACGGACCGGAUUGUCGGAAUACAUUCUCCAUCAAUCAUUCCCCACGUCUUUUGAAUAAUAAUCCCUGUGAUGGAGUACAGUGUCUACAUAAUGGAAAUUGCUCAGUGACUAGUAAUGGAAACGUUGCCAAAUGCCUUUGCAGUCCAGGUUUUGUAGGAAAUCUCUGUGAAAUAUCCAGUGUGUGUACUGGAGAUGAGUUUUGUCCUGAUAAUGGAGUCUGCUUGGAUGGAGGAAAUUGUGAGUGCUCUACGGGAUUUGUGGCUAAUUAUGUUGAAAACGUUGUGGUAGAGUGCCAACCCUCCUCCUCUGUUAGUGGACAACCAGAAACCACUCCAUCUUGCCCAGAUCCUAAUCCCUGCCUCAACGGGGGACUCUGUUCUCCAAAUGAAACAGAUAGAGGGUUUAACUGUUCAUGUGCCCCUGGAUUUGAAGGAGAUGAUUGCUCUUUAGUGAGUCCCUGUGGAGGUGAAUGUUUGAAUGAUGGGACGUGUGAUGAAGUGACAAAUACUUGCGUUUGUGCUAGUGGAUAUGAAGGAUUAAAUUGUGCUACAGACAUUAAUGAGUGCUCUUCAGAUGAAAACAUUUGUAAUCAGAAAGGAACAUGUCAAAACUAUAACGGAGGCUACAGAUGUAUUUGUGAAGAGGGUUGGUCUGGCUCCAACUGUGAGUCCUCUCUUGGUUGUAGCUCGUUACCCUGUAAAAACGAUGGAACCUGCUCUUCCGAGACUGGGUACUGUGUCUGCCCAGAAGGAUUCUCUGGAAACUUUUGCGAACUUAUAAGCCGAUCCAACUCUGGACACUGUAAUCCCAACCCUUGCCAAAAUGCUGGAAAUUGUACAUCAACAGAGACAGGAGCUCUUUGCUCUUGCGCUGAGGGUUUUGGAGGCCCAACUUGUGAAGACUCUGCAAGCCCUUGCUAUCCUUCCAAUUCAUGUAAAAAUGGAGCUAUAUGCAUUCCAACUAGCGGUACUUUGGCAUCUGGUGCGGAGCCUUAUACGUGUGAAUGCUCCCCAGAAUAUGUUGGACUCUACUGCGAAACAAAGAUAGAUAAUUGUACAGGGAUUGUAUGUCCUCCAGGUCGUGUCUGCAUGGAUAAAGCAGGGACUCAUCAAUGUGUGUGUCCUACUGGAUUCAAGGGAGUGGACUGUGCUGAAAACAUUGAUGAAUGUGGGGAAGGGGAUGAUAAUCCCUGUUUAUACGGAGGGACAUGCAUUGAUGAAGUUGGGAAAUAUAGUUGCAAGUGCACUUCUGGAAGAGAAGGAGACAACUGUGAGGAGGACAUUGAUGAAUGCUCUAUACUACAAAAUAUUUGUAAUCAUGGUAUUUGCAAAAACACUGCUGGGUCUUACACUUGUUACUGUCGUCCGGGGUUUACUGGGAAUCAUUGCUCUCUGGAGUUUGAUGAAUGCCUUUCUCAUCCGUGCAAGAAUGGUGGAAGCUGUAGUAAUCUCAUCAAUUCCUACGAGUGCACCUGCGCUCCCGGAUUCCAAGGACAAAAUUGUGAGAUAAACAUUGAUGAAUGCGCAAGUAAACCUUGCGAAAAUGACGCUCUAUGCAUUGAUGGCAUAAACAAUUUCACUUGCUCCUGCAAUCCUGGAUUUACUGGACGUAUCUGCGAAACGAAUAUCAAUGAGUGCGAAAGUUCCCCCUGUGUGAAUGGAGGGCAGUGCGUUGACGAAAUCAAUGCCUAUGUUUGUAACUGUACAGACACGGGGUUUGAGGGACCUGAAUGUCAAAUUAACAUUGAUGAGUGCGCUCCUGGACCUUGUGUUAAUAAUGCAACUUGCACGGAUGGCAUCAAUGACUAUGCAUGUAAUUGUUUUGAGGGCUAUGGUGGGAAGAACUGUGCCAUUGACAUCUCCGAGUGUCUCGAAACACCUUGUCAUAAUGGAGCUCUCUGCUUUGAAAAGUCAAAUCAGAGUCUCUACUCCAUGACUGAAUUGGUGGAUGCACUUCCUAUCGAUGUCCUUCCGGUGUUUGAUAAAAACUUUUCUUAUUUUGAUGCCUCUGGCUAUGUCUGCUCCUGUAUGUCUGGCUAUGAAGGAGAUAACUGUGAAGUGAAUAUAAAUGAGUGUGUGAGCUCUCCAUGCCGUAACGGUGAAUGUCAGGAUGGGAUCGCUGAGUAUAUUUGUGUAUGUAAUCCUGGCUAUGAAGGCAAAAACUGUGAAGAAGAAAUUGAUGAAUGCGAGAGAUUUAGUCCGUGUCAACAUGGAAGCUGCGAGGACGGCGUUGCUGAUUACUUUUGCGAUUGUGAGUAUGGGUGGGGUGGUAAAAAUUGUUCUGUCGCACUCAUUGGAUGUGAAAGUGUUGCAUGUUUGAAUGGUGGAACCUGUGAGCCAUUUCUCAUCGGUGAGUCUCUACACUCGGGGAAUUGUACUUGCACUGCUGGUUUUGAUGGACUUCGGUGCCAAAGUCGAACCACUUUCUCAUUUCAAGGAGAUUCUUAUAUCAAAGUACCCUCCAAUAGGAGUGAGGGAUAUGAACUUCACAUGAAAUUCCGUACAACUCUAGGAAACGGACUUGUUGCCAUCGGUCAAGGAAAUACUCAUUUCGUUCUUAAAAUGAAAGAUGGGAAAUUGAAUCUUCAUUCCAACUUAAUUAGCAAAUAUAAAGGAAUAUUUAUUGGAGAAAACUUAAAUAAUACAGAAUGGCAAAAAGUAUUUGUGGCCGUUAAUUCAUCACAUCUAACCCUGGGAGUGAAUGGUCUUCAAAACAUUCAGCCCAUCAACCCAACUGGGGAAAAUGACACGGUGUUCUAUAAUACAUAUCUUGGAGGAAUUGUUCAGGAUCAAAAAAUAUUAGCAAAUCAAGCUCCUGAGUUUACUGGUUGUGUUCAAGAUAUUACUGUGAAUGGAAUUAAAAUAACUGAAGAAGAUAUCAAACAUGGCUCUCAUGAAGUAGAAGAAAAGAACACUAGCCCUGGAUGUGUACGGGAGGAUAAAUGCGAGCCUAAUCCCUGUCAAAACAACGGGUUUUGUAAAGACUUAUGGAUUGAGUAUGAAUGUUCUUGUCAUAGGCCCUUUUUAGGAGCUUCCUGUCAGUACAAUUACACGGUAGCAACUUUUGGCCAUGAAAAUGAAACAGGAAGUAUUGGAGCUGUGGACAUUACAAAUCCUGCUCCAUAUCAAUCUGGAGUGGAUAUAUCUAUGUUUAUUCGUACCCGAAAAGAAAAUGGUUUUAUAUUCUAUUUUGGUUCAUCCCUUGGGAACAUUGAAAGGAGUCCAUCUUACAUUACUGGGCAGCUCCUUGGCGGAAAUUUGGUCGUGAACGUAUUUUUUGAUACUAAAAAAGAAAAAUUUCAAGUGUACACCGUUAAUUUAUCAGAUGGCUACCGUCACUUUAUUCGUGUCGUUCGAAUGCAUAAUUCAAUGAUGGUCAAAGUAAAUGAAACUGUUUCUAUCAAUCAUGAAAUCCCUAGUCCUACUGCCUUUAUUGCUGAAAAGUUAUAUCUUGGAAACUUACCGGAUAAAGAUAUUAAUGUGGAGUCCGAAACCCCUGAUAAUUUAAACACGACAACAACCACAACUACGACAAUAUCCUCUGUCAUAGUCUCAUUAUCCAGCGUCCUUCCUCCAACUGAUCAAACAACUCAGUCAAAUUUCAACCCUUUUUCAUCUGAGGAGUCAACAAGUGAAUUUGCUGUUAGUUCCAGUGCCCCCACAACCUUACCUGAAUCGAACACUGAAACGACAACCACUACGGUGAUUCCAUUAACUGAAUCUGUUGAUUCUUCUUUAAAAGAAGUUCGACGUAAAAGAGAUACUGAAGAUUCGACUGAAGAACUAGAAGCAAAUGAAAACUCUCUUAUCAACAGUGAUAAUCCUGUAUUGAGCAAUCCCAAGCCCACUUUCUUUAAAGGAAUAAUCCAAGACAUACAAAUAUCUGAUGGAAAGAAUAAGAAAAAGAUUGUCGAGCUAUUUGAUUUCAAAUUUACGGAAAUUGUAAAUCGACCCCCAUCAAUAGGAGAUGUUCGUCUCAUUGAUGUCAUGGAAGGGAUUGUUUCUGACGAUACUUGCAAGGAGAACCCUUGUGAGAAUGGAGGAAUUUGUCAAGUAACAUGGAACGACUAUCAUUGCUCAUGUCCAAAGGGAUACAGAGGUCGUAAUUGUGACGAAAAAGAGUAUUGUUUUUGGUAUAAAUGCCCUGGCAACAGUACUUGUAAAAGUCUAAAAGACGGUCAUGAAUGUCUUACUAAUGCAACGUUCAACGGCAUUAACUCAACUGUUAGUUUUACACCUAGUUUAGAGGACAAUUCCCUCAAAUCAUUGAAUACAAUACUUGCUACAUUUCGCUCCAAAGAAGAUGGAACCCUUAUGUUUAUCGGAAAUAAAACUCAAUAUAUAAAAUUAUUCCUUAGUUCUGGUGCUCUUAAUGUCAAAAUUCCGGAGGGCUCAAUUAUUCGUACCUACAUGCUAGGCGGAGAAAAUAACACAAAUUAUGAUGAUGGAGAAUGGCACUCCGUCAUUCUUAAGUUUGAAACAGGGGUUGCCUCUGGAUCUGUAGAUAAUGGGCUCUAUGAGCAAUUAACAAUCGAUGCAAUUGACUUUGAAAAAUUUGUUAUGGAAGAAGAUACUCUAAUAACGGCUGGUAAAGGAGAACGAGAAAAUGUAGAUGAUCUCUAUUUUAGAGGAUGUAUCGGAGAACUUCGUAUCGGAGGGAUUCUCUUGCCCUUUUAUAAUGAAAAUGAUCUUGUCAACUCCACAGCUGCUUCCAAAUUUAUUGCUUCCGACAUUAAGAACGUUGAUGCAAGUGAAUGUAUUUUAUGUUUUGAAAGAGAGUGCUUCAAUGGGGGGUCAUGUGCCAAUCCCUCUGAGGUCUUUGAGUGUGAGUGUCCAAAAGGAUUCAAGGAUCCCACUUGUCGAACCAACAUAGAUGAAUGCGUCGAAAAUAGCUGUCAAAACGGUUUAUGCGUUGAUGGAGUAGCCAAUUAUACAUGUGCCUGCAAUUCAGGAUGGGCUGGAUGGUUGUGUGACACGGAUAUCGAUGAAUGUGAGCUUAGCCCUUGUCAAAACGGGGGAACAUGCACACAAACUGCAAUCCCUGGAGACUACUCUUGCAACUGCCUUGAUGAUUACGAAGGCCAUGACUGUGAAGAACUUAAGAUUAAAACCUGUGAGCAAGAGCCUUGCCAAAAUGGGGGAACAUGCCGCUCAGAGAAAAGCCAUACAAGUGAUGACUUUUACAAUUGUGAUUGUAUGCCCCUUUAUAAGGGAGUAGAUUGUGAGCUUGAGCGAGACUUUUGUGAAGAAUUCAUACAGCCAUGUAAAAACAAUGCUACUUGUCUAUCGGAUUCUUCUUCUUUCUUUUACCAAUGUAAAUGUACUCCUGGAUACGAGGGUAAAUUAUGCGAAGACGAAAUUGAUGAAUGCGAAAACAAUCCGUGUUUUAACGGGGGUCAGUGCAUUGAUCUUCUCAACUCAUUCAAAUGUAAUUGCACUGGAACCGGGUAUUCUGGAGAAACAUGCAGUUCCAACAUCAACGAAUGCUUAACACAACAGCCUUGCAUUCAAGGAAAUUGUACAGAUACUCCUGGGAGUUACCAAUGUCAAUGUUUGGAGGGUUAUUGUGGAACUAAUUGUCAAAGAGAGGAUCCAUGUCAAUUGUCUGAUGGCUUAUGUAAAAAUGAAGGUGCCUGCAUCCCUGCUUGUGAUAGCGAACCUUACUAUGUGUGUGAUUGUGACGAUGAAUGGGAGGGACAUGACUGUUCAUUAAAGUCAACAGAAAAGGUAGGAGACAUUCUCAUGAUUGUCGGACCCAUUAUUGGAGGCAUCCUUUUCAUCACCGUUAUGGGCAUACUUAUAUUUCUUGUGAUGGCCAGAAGAAAACGUAGGUCUGAAGGGAAAUAUAAGCCAGCCAAUCAAGAGCUAACUUCUCCCAGACUACAGCUUGACAACAUUAUCAAGCCCCCUCCAGAAGAGAGGCUCAUCUAAGUCAAAAAUGAAAAGAUGAAUCAUUAAUGAGUAUGGAUAAUACUCAAAAGGAACAUUAUUUUUUUAGAAUUAAAACGUAUUUGAAAACAAAACGAAAAACUACAAAAAAAAAAUCAUCGUGUACAAUUUCAAAUAUUUCAGUCUGUGAUAUCUACAUGUUUUAUGUCUGUUUAAUUUCGUCCAUCCAUCCUUGGAAAACUCAUGAUCGAUUGCAUUUUAUUAAAAGGCAUAUGGAAGUAGUCAUAAUGACUCCGAGUUCUUUUCCAUUGCUGCUCCCGUCCUUGGAGUCAUGGUAAUUCUAUUUAUAUUCGUGUUCCUCGUCUUUGUGUCCAUGGCGAGGAAGAAACGCUCUCUUCAUGGAACUUACUCCCCUCAGAAACAAGAACAUGAUGCUCCAAGAUUGGAAUUGUCGAAUUUGAUGCUCAAACUUCCUCCAGAGGAAAGACUCAUUUAAA
rnacentral:misc_RNA from 1 species